UACUGAUGGCAUUUUACAUGG
ensembl:piRNA 21ur-4329 ncRNA